rnacentral:rRNA from 1 species
ACCGAUAACGAACGAGAACCUUAACCUGCUAAAUAGUCCGGCCGGCUUUUGCUGGUCGCAGACUUCUUAGAGGGACUGUCAGCGUCUAGCUGACGGAAGUUUGAGGCAAUAACAGGUCUGUGAUGCCCUUAGAUGUUCUGGGCCGCACGCGCGCUACACUGACAGAGCCAGCGAGUUUUCACCUUGGCCGGAAGGUCUGGGUAAUCUUGUGAAACUUUGUCGUGCUGGGGAUAGAGCAUUGCAAUC